rnacentral:rRNA from 1 species
UACGUAGGGGGCUAGCGUUGUCCGGAAUCAUUGGGCGUAAAGCGCGUGUAGGCGGUCCGGUAAGUCCGCUGUGAAAGUCGGGGGCUCAACCCUCGGAUGCCGGUGGAUACUGUCGGGCUUGAGUACGGAAGAGGCGAGUGGAAUUCCUGGUGUAGCGGUGAAAUGCGCAGAUACCAGGAGGAACACCAAUUGCGAAGGCAGCUCGCUGGGACGUUACUGACGCUGAGACGCGAAAGCGUGGGGAGCAAACAGG